GAGAGAGGAAGGGCGGCUGCCGGCAGCAAGUCUGCUGAGGAAAGUCCCCUCACCAUCUGGACCGCGGACAUGCGCAAGCAUGUAAGGCGAGAGUCUUGGCUCUGGAACAGAAACGAUACCGCAACGCAGAAAUGCGAUGAACUCGAAAGAGCGAGGUCAUGCGUAUUUGAAAAUCCUGUUUUCAAGGGCUGAAAAGCCUGACGGAUUUUCAAAGCGGAUGGAACGGCGAAUCCACGCGGGUGCAAGCCGAAAUAGGACCAUAAGGGCAGUCCAGACCUGUCCGAGUCCGGUGCAUAGCUGAAUGUCGCAUAAGCGCUACAGGGGUUUUACUCCUGCGCUAAACAUAAAGGGGCUUACUCUCCUCACUC
rnacentral:RNase_P_RNA from 1 species